rnacentral:rRNA from 1 species
CCAGACUCCUACGGGAGGCAGCAGUGAGGAAUAUUGGUCAAUGGCCGAGAGGCUGAACCAGCCAAGUCGCGUGAGGGAUGACGGCCCUACGGGUUGUAAACCUCUUUUGCCGGGGAGCAAAGAGCGGGACGCGUCCCGCCUCGAGAGUACCCGGAGAAAAAGCAUCGGCUAACUCCGUGCCAGCAGCCGCGGUAAUACGGAGGAUGCGAGCGUUAUCCGGAUUUAUUGGGUUUAAAGGGUGCGUAGGCGGCAUUAUAAGUUAGUGGUAAAAUAUUGGGGCUUCACCUCACUACGCCAUUAAUACUGUAGAGCUAGAGAACAGACGAGGUAGGCGGAAUAAGUUAAGUAGCGGUGAAAUGCAUAGAUAUAACCUAGAACACCGAUAGCGAAGGCAGCUUACCAGACUGAGUCUGACGCUGAUGCACGAGAGCAUGGGUAGCGAACAGGAUUAGAUACCCCCGUAC